UACGAAGGGGGCUAGCGUUGCUCGGAAUGACUGGGCGUAAAGGGCGCGUAGGCGGAUUGUACAGUCAGGCGUGAAAUUCCCGGGCUCAACCUGGGGGCUGCGCUUGAGACGUGCGAUCUUGAGUGGGGAAGAGGGUCGUGGAAUUCCCAGUGUAGAGGUGAAAUUCGUAGAUAUUGGGAAGAACACCGGUGGCGAAGGCGGCGACCUGGACGGACACUGACGCUGAGACGCGAAAGCGUGGGGAGGCAAACAGG
rnacentral:rRNA from 1 species